rnacentral:rRNA from 1 species
AGCGAACGCUGGCGGCAGGCCUAACACAUGCAAGUCGAACGGAUCCUUCGGGAUUAGUGGCGGACGGGUGAGUAACACGUGGGAACGUGCCCUUUGGUUCGGAACAACUCAGGGAAACUUGAGCUAAUACCGGAUGUGCCCUUCGGGGGAAGGAUUUAUCGCCAUUGGAGCGGCCCGCGUCUGAUUAGCUAGUUGGUGGGGUAAAGGCCCACCAAGGCGACGAUCAGUAGCUGGUCUGAGAGGAUGAUCAGCCACAUUGGGACUGAGACACGGCCCAAACUCCUACGGGAGGCAGCAGUGGGGAAUCUUGCGCAAUGGGCGAAAGCCUGACGCAGCCAUGCCGCGUGAAUGAUGAAGGUCUUAGGAUUGUAAAAUUCUUUCACCGGGGACGAUAAUGACGGUACCCGGAGAAGAAGCCCCGGCUAACUUCGUGCCAGCCGCCGCGGUAA